GACAGAGGUGCCGAGCGUUAGGCGGAAUCACUGGGCUUAAAGCGUGUGUAGGCGGAUCGUUAAGUACCUUGUGAAAUCCCGCGGCUUAACCGUGGAACUGCUUGGUAUACUGGCGAUCUUGAGCCACCUAGGGGCAACCGGAACAAAUGGUGGAGCGGUGAAAUGCGUAGAUAUCAUUUGGAACGCCAAUGGUGAAAACAGGUUGCUGGGGGUGUGCUGACGCUGAGACACGAAAGCCAGGGGAGCGAACGGG
rnacentral:rRNA from 1 species